GACGAACGCUGGCGGCGUGCCUAACACAUGCAAGUCGAACGAAGCUUUGAGGAGCUUGCUUUUUAAAGCUUAGUGGCGGACGGGUGAGUAACGCGUGAGCAACCUGCCUCUCAGAGGGGAAUAACGUUUUGAAAAGAACGCUGAUACCGCAUAACAUAUCGGAACCGCAUGAUUCUGAUAUCAAAGGAGCAAUCCGCUGAGAGAUGGGCUCGCGUCCGAUUAGUUAGUUGGUGAGGUAACGGCUCACCAAGACUACGAUCGGUAGCCGGACUGAGAGGUUGAUCGGCCACAUUGGGACUGAGACACGGCCCAGACUCCUACGGGAGGCAGCAGUGGGGGAUAUUGCGCAAUGGGGGAAACCCUGACGCAGCAACGCCGCGUGAAGGAAGAAGGUCUUCGGAUUGUAAACUUCUUUUGUCAGGGACGAAGAAAGUGACGGUACCUGACGAAUAAGCUCCGGCUAACUACGUGCCAGCAGCCGCGGUAAUACGUAGGGAGCGAGCGUUGUCCGGAUUUACUGGGUGUAAAGGGUGCGUAGGCGGCCGAGCAAGUCAGUUGUGAAAACUAUGGGCUUAACCCAUAACGUGCAAUUGAAACUGUCCGGCUUGAGUGAAGUAGAGGUAGGCGGAAUUCCCGGUGUAGCGGUGAAAUGCGUAGAGAUCGGGAGGAACACCAGUGGCGAAGGCGGCCUACUGGGCUUUAACUGACGCUGAGGCACGAAAGCAUGGGUAGCAAACAGGGUUAGAUACCCUGGUAGUCCAUGCCGUAAACGAUGAUUAAUAGGUGUGGGGGGGCUGCCCCUCUCCGUGCCGCAGUUAACACAAUAAGUAAUCCACCUGGGGAGUACGGCCGCAAGGAUGAAACUCAAAGGAAUUGACGGGGGCCCGCGCAAGCAGUGGAGUAUGUGGUUUAAUUGGUAGCAACGCGAAGAACCCUCCCAGGUCUGGACAUCCUGAGAAUCGCUAAGAGAUGAGGGAGUGCCUUUGGGAGCUCAGAGACAGGUGGGGGAUGGGAGUCGUCAGGUGGUGUCGUGGGAGAGUGGGCUAAAUGCCGCCACGAGCGCAACCCGCGCUGUUAGUUUCUAUUGCAAGAGCAGUCUAAUCAGAUUUCCGUUGUCGAAAGGGAGGAAGGAGGGGAGGGCGUCAAAUGAUCAUGCGCUCUAUGAUUUGGGGUACCCGCGUAUUCCAAUGA
rnacentral:rRNA from 1 species